UUUAUUAACCAAUAGUAAUAAAACAUUUUCACAGCGUACAGAGGGGAAUCUCACAUCAAGCAAGGUCUGGGGUCCAGGAUCUGCAAGAGAUUUUGUCUCAACAGAUUGGUUAGAGAUGGAAGAAAACACCUGACAUCAACCUCUGGCCUCCAUGUGGUCCCAUGUUCCCACACAUACGUACCCCACACAUGUGCGAGCGAGACUCCACGUGUUUACAUGUAAGCAUGAAUACAUGAAUGUGCAUUACACACAUACACACACACACACACACACACACACACAAAUAAGGUCUCUAAGGAUAACUUAAAAAACAAUGGAAAAUCUGUAGAAAGAAAAUGGAAACAUGUAUAGACGGACAUAAAAUGUUUAGAGCUAUUUGGGCUUACAGUUGCAGAGGGUUGGGAAGCAUGGCAACAAGUGUCAGGCGUGGCAGCAAGCGUGAAGCUGAGAGCUCACAUGUCAGUCACGAGCUGGAAAAAGAGAAAGCAGACUGGUAGGACCAGGCUGUGAACUCUUAAAGCCCACCCUUGGAAAUACUUCCUCCAGCAAAGCUACACCUUCUAAACCUCCCUAACGGAGUCUCCUAGCAGGGACUAAGUCUUCAAAUGCCUGGCCAAUUCUCAUUCCAUCCAUCUCAGAAGGAGUGUUAAAGACAGUCUCCACACUGUGGCCGAGGCCCAAUCAAACUGCUAAUCCCCCUGGCAGGACCUGGCCGCGUCUUGCUCAGUUGUGCGCCCUCUGCUGGACAGAUUGAGAAUUCUCAUGGCUACAACUCUAAAAUAGGACAUUAGUUUGUAUUCCCAAGAUUCCUUCCCAGCCUCUGGUGCCAGAAGAUGCUUGGAACUUCAGAAGCAAUCUGUUCUUGUAGAGGCCAGCCUCUGUGUUUUCAGGAUUCCAGUGUCUCUUUAUGCCACUUGUCUCAAACCCCAAUCUGGGUUCUACCUAUACCAAACUGUGACUAUGACAAGAAACACACAGUGAACCACCGUCCUUAGGUGGACAGUGAUCCCUACAGUCCACCACAAUGGGAAGUACUGAAUUUCAAAAGGUUUACUUUCCUCUGCGUGUGGUUUCUGUGUGAUUAUUUCGGUUCUGGGCGGCGGGGACGAACAAGUGGCGUCCUUGCAACAUCUUUGCAAUCCCAAAUGCAUGAACACACUCGAAUUUGAGACAGAACCUCUUUGACUUACCUGUGCUAGCAUGGAACCCAUGUGGUCAUCCAGGCAAGCUUUGAGCUUGCAGUCCUCUUGCCUCAUCUUCCCAAAUGUCGGGGGUUGUAGGCCUGUGUCACCAGACCUAGAGAACCUGUUUCCCCAAGGUGAUGAGUCCCACGAUUUAAGAUCUUCAGACUUGAGGGCAAGGCAGAACAGGAAGGAAAAGAGAGAAGUGGGAAAAAGCAGAGGAGGAAGAGAUUAUGGGAUGGAAUUGCUUAGAUCCCACCAUUAGGAGAGUGGGAGGUUGCGUGCUGGAUGGGCCUUCCAAGGAAAGUAUCAGGGUACUUAGGAGAGAGUAGGAUCUGUGGGGCUAGGAAUGUAAGGGGUCUGUGGCCUUUUUAAAUUAUGGGUGCUUUUGUAUUGUAGCAGUUUGAACAUAAUUAUCCCCCAUAAUCUCAUAGGGAGUGGCACUAUUAGGAGGUAAGACUUCGUUGAAGGAAGUGUGUCACUGUGGGGAUAGCCUGUGAGGUUUAUUUGCUCAGGAUACUGCCUAGUAUCUCAACUGACUUCCUGCAGCACCACAUCUGCCUGCUCGUCAGUGCUUCCCAUCACGAUGAUAAUGGACUGACAUCUGAAACUAUAAACGAGCCACCCCAAUUGAAUAUUUUAUUAUUUAUGACAGUCGCUGUGGUCGUGGUGUCUCUUCACAGCAAUGAAAACCCGAAGACAUAUAUUGAGAGCUAUAGAAAUGAAUGUGUAAGAAGUAUCACGUACACACACACACACACACACACACACACACACACACGGGGAGAGAGAAACAGACAGACACCUCCCUCCCCAAGGCUGACCUCUAUUCUCUGGCAUUGACCCCUCAUGCUGAUGUCACUGGCUUCUGGGGUUCCCAUUCUCACCCACCAUGACCCAACUUGACAGCGAAGGCAGAGGAAAGUGGAGACGGAGGCUCGGGAGGGAGACGAGUGGGAUCCAUAUGCUUCCGCCUGCCCCUGCCUUCUAUAUAAACACUGUCAUUUGCCAUUAAAUGUGAAGGCAACGUUGAUUUGAGCAGUGGCAUGGCAGCUGAGUGGAAAGUGCUCCAGACUCAUUAGAAAAACAUCCAAGGCUUCGCUUUGAAUUACCCACCGCGUGCCAGAUCCUCACGUAGACUAGGCCAAUGGCACGCCUGCCCCUCAGAGGAGACAAAUGAGCCCGCCUACCAUGUCCUUCCACACUCUUUGGGAGGGAAAUGUGCUUAGUUUGAAAACAGAGGCACCCUCCAGCCUGUCUCCUGUUAGGUCUUUCUCCUUUGCUGUGGGCCCGGGUUGUUGUUCUGGGUUGGGGGGACCUUGAGUGAUCCUUUCUUUGGGGGAUGGAAGGGAAACCAGGACAGCCGAUGUGAACUACCUGACAAGCCUUGAGUCUCAGACCCAGCAGGUUUCCCAGAGCCAGACCUGGACAGACGGUGGGAGCCCCUUGAUGAUUCACACAUAUGAGCAGUGCACCUACUGUGUGCCAGUCACACACACAUGAGCAGUGUACCUACUAUGUGCCAGUUCGUCGUUCACAUCCCAGAUCCUGAAAUAGGAUGGCCAGAACAGAACCUCCUCCCCAUCUCCACCACUACCCGAUCCUUGUGCUCUGGAGUCACCGGAGCAGCCGUCUAUACCAGCCCUGGACAUGUCCAGUUUAUAGAGCAGCAUCUCUGUCUGGACUUCAUCUUCAUUAACACAGCAAACCUUGACCUGGGUGUCCAUGGCACAGCCUGGAAAGUCAUCAGCUGAGAGCUCUUUUUAUAUGUGCAUUAUAUUUCAAUUAAAAGUUCAUUUCAGAAAUGAC